AGAGUUUGAUCCUGGCUCAGGAUGAACGCUGGCGGCGUGCCUAAUACAUGCAAGUCGAGCGAACCACUUCGGUGGGAAGCGGCGAACGGGUGAGUAACACGUAGGUGAUCUGCCCAUCAGACGGGGACAACGAUUGGAAACGAUCGCUAAUACCGGAUAGGACGAAAGUUUAAAGAUGCUCCUGGCAUCACUGAUGGAUGAGCCUGCGGCGCAUUAGCUAGUUGGUGGGGUAAAGGCCUACCAAGGCGACGAUGCGUAGCCGACCUGAGAGGGUGAACGGCCACACUGGGACUGAGACACGGCCCAGACUCCUACGGGAGGCAGCAGUAGGGAAUCUUCGGCAAUGGGCGAAAGCCUGACCGAGCAACGCCGCGUGAAUGAAGAAGGCCUUCGGGUUGUAAAAUUCUGUUAUAAGGGAAGAAAGGUGAUAGGAGGAAAUGACUAUCAAUUGACGGUACCUUAUGAGAAAGCCACGGCUAACUACGUGCCAGCAGCCGCGGU
rnacentral:rRNA from 1 species